rnacentral:lncRNA from 1 species
UGCAGUGUUUGGAACUCGCUGAGAGCCAAGAAGUCUGGCAGGACUCCAUUGCAGUCAGUGCCUCAGCUCUUAACAGAUGGGUGUUACACAACCUGCCUCUCUGCACAGCACAGCUCAGCCGAGCGCUUCCGAGAGGCUUUUCCCAACCCCAAUGCCCCAGCCUGUACACGGAUGAGUGCAUGAGAUGGGAUGCUGUGAAGGGAAAGUCAUUAAUCCCCAAAUGCAGUGAACUGCUAAUGAGUAUUUUAAGGGCAAAUAGCCUCACUCUAGGCAAAUUCUCACUUGGUGGAGGCACAGUGGAGAGAAUGUCGCUCUGUUGCGUACAUACAGACUUCAGUGCCUCUGUGUAUGGCUGGAUUCUGCUCAGGUUCUCUGCUCUGUCUGCACUUGCUCAGGGACAAAGAAAUUUACAGCUGUGAACAUCUGCCAAGUGACUGGAAACCCAUUGCAUCUGGUGCCACCUGCAUCUUGAUACAUAGCAACAAGCCAAGUUUUGCCAUCAUGAUGAAGAAGGAUGGCUCUGCUUUAGACUUUAAUGUCCAGUUUUCUCCAUUACUAAUUAGAAUUCUUUGUGAUGAAGAAUAUUCAGGUGUAAAAAUGAAAACUACCCACUCUCAGUGCAGUUGGAAGCCACAGGAAUUAAUGUUCAUGGAAAUGUUUGUGUAUACCUUACAGUGUUACAAAACAACACGCGGUUUUGAUUUGUUUAAGCUAUAUUUUUAUUAAUAAAAUUAUAUGUACAUUGUUUGAAGACUGACUAAAGCCAGAAUGGUGGUUUUGUAUGACAACUAUGCAAUUUAGAUAGAAUUCAUAUGAGGUAAACUAAUAUGGGUAUUUAUAGUUACUUUUAUUUUCUGUUGUGCUGGAGGUUGUUAAACUUUUUUAUGCUCUUUUCUUUUUAGACUAGGGACC